CUGAGUACGGCGGAACACGUGAAAUUCCGUCGGAAUCCGGGAGGACCAUCUCCCAAGGCUAAAUACUCCCUAGUGACCGAUAGUGAACCAGUACCGUGAGGGAAAGGUGAAAAGCACCCCGGAAGGGGAGUGAAACAGUUCCUGAAACCGUGUGCCUACAAGUAGUUAGAGCCCGUUAAUGGGUGAUAGCGUGCCUUUUGUAGAAUGAACCGGCGAGUUACGAUUUGUUGCAAGGUUAAGCGGAAAAAGCGGAGCCGUAGCGAAAGCGAGUCUGAAUAGGGCGCAUAAGUAACAGGUCGUAGACCCGAAACCAGGUGAUCUACCCAUGUCCAGGAUGAAGGUAAGGUAAUACUUACUGGAGGUCCGAACCCACGCACGUUGAAAAGUGCGGGGAUGAGGUGUGGGUAGCGGAGAAAUUCCAAUCGAACUUGGAGAUAGCUGGUUCUCUCCGAAAUAGCUUUAGGGCUAGCCUCGAGGUAAAGAGUCAUGGAGGUAGAGCACUGUUUGGACUAGGGGCCCUUCUCGGGUUACCGAAUUCAGAUAAACUCCGAAUGCCAUGUACUUAUACUCGGGAGUCAGACUGCGAGUGAUAAGAUCCGUAGUCGAAAGGGAAACAGCCCAGACCACCAGUUAAGGUCCCCAAAUAUAUGUUAAGUGGAAAAGGAUGUGGGGUUGCUUAGACAACCAGGAUGUUGGCUUAGAAGCAGCCACCAUUGAAAGAGUGCGUAAUAGCUCACUGGUCGAGUGACCCCGCGCCGAAAAUGUACCGGGGCUAAACAUAUUACCGAAACUGUGGAUGAACCUCUUUAGAGGUUCGUGGUAGGAGAGCGUUCUAAGGGCGGUGAAGUCAGACCGGAAGGACUGGUGGAGCGCUUAGAAGUGAGAAUGCCGGUAUGAGUAGCGAAAGAAGGGUGAGAAUCCCUUCCACCGAAUAUCUAAGGUUUCCUGAGGAAGGCUCGUCCGCUCAGGGUUAGUCGGGACCUAAGCCGAGGCCGAUAGGCGUAGGCGAUGGACAACAGGUAGAGAUUCCUGUACCAGUGCUAAUUGUUUAACCGAUGGGGUGACACAGAAGGAUAGGGAAUCGCACGAAUGGAAAUGUGCGUCCAAGCAGUGAGUGUGAGAAGUAGGCAAAUCCGCUUCUCGCGAAGCAUGAGCUGUGAUGGGGAAGGAAAUUAAGUACGGAAGUUCCUGAUUUCACGCUGUCAAGAAAAGCCUCUAGGAAGAGUAGUACUGCCCGUACCGCAAACCGACACAGGUAGAUGAGGAGAGAAUCCUAAGGUGAGCGAGAGAACUCUCGUUAAGGAACUCGGCAAAAUGACCCCGUAACUUCGGGAGAAGGGGUGCUCUAUUAGGGUGCAAGCCCGAGAGAGCCGCAGUGAAUAGGCCCAGGCGACUGUUUAGCAAAAACACAGGUCUCUGCAAAACCGUAAGGUGACGUAUAGGGGCUGACGCCUGCCCGGUGCUGGAAGGUUAAGAGGAGUGCUUAGCUUCGGCGAAGGUACGAAUUGAAGCCCCAGUAAACGGCGGCCGUAACUAUAACGGUCCUAAGGUAGCGAAAUUCCUUGUCGGGUAAGUUCCGACCCGCACGAAAGGCGCAACGAUCUGGGCACUGUCUCAACGAGAGACUCGGUGAAAUUAUAGUACCUGUGAAGAUGCAGGUUACCCGCGACAGGACGGAAAGACCCCGUGGAGCUUUACUGCAACCUGAUAUGGAAUGUUUGUACCGCUUGUACAGGAUAGGUAGGAGCCGAAGAGACGUGUGCGCUAGCAUACGAGGAGGCAAUGGUGGGAUACUACCCUGGCUGUAUGACCAUUCUAACCCGCCACGCUUAGCGCGUGGGGAGACAGUGUCAGGUGGGCAGUUUGACUGGGGCGGUCGCCUCCUAAAGAGUAACGGAGGCGCCCAAAGGUUCCCUCAGAAUGGAUGGAAAUCAUUCGCAGAGUGUAAAGGCACAAGGGAGCUUGACUGCGAGACUGACAAGUCGAGCAGGGACGAAAGUCGGGCUUAGUGAUCCGGUGGU
rnacentral:rRNA from 1 species